UACGUAGGGUGCAGGCGUUAAUCGGAAUUACUGGGCGUAAAGCGUGCGCAGGCGGCUUCUCAAGUCAGAUGUGAAAUCCCCGGGCUUAACCUGGGAACUGCGUUUGAAACUAGGAGGCUAGAGUGCGGCAGAGGGGGGUGGAAUUCCACGUGUAGCAGUGAAAUGCGUAGAUAUGUGGAGGAACACCGAUGGCGAAGGCAGCCCCCUGGGCCAACACUGACGCUCAUGCACGAAAGCGUGGGGAGCAAACAGG
rnacentral:rRNA from 1 species